GUGGAAACCCUUCUUCCGUCACUGCAUAGCUAACGUCUUCUUGCUACCUUUUAACCUUCCAAUGAGAAUAAAAUCCCCAAAAUUUCCUUCAUCCCUUACUAAAACCUUAACCCAAAUUUCACUCUCUCUCUCUCUCUCUUUAUCUAAUAAAAUUAAAGAAUGUGGACACACUUCUUCCAUAUGAAGCUGACGAUUCCAAGAUGAUGUCUCCUUCCAGAGACUGUUCUAUCUCAACCGCUACUUCCACUCACUUUCCUAUUGCCUCCCUCCCCACAAAACCCUUCUUCCUUAUUCCUUCCGUCUUGAUCUGAUCUCUUCUAUAAAUUCAACCUUUCUUCUAGUUUUUCUUUCAUUCGCUUGACCAUCUCCUGACUCUACUUCUUCAUUUCAAUUUCUUAAUUUGCUUUCUUGCACGUAUCCACACACACAGAGAGAGAGAGAG
rnacentral:misc_RNA from 1 species